GGGUUGUGAGGUUAAGCGACUAAGCGUACACGGUGGAUGCCCUGGCAGUCAGAGGCGAUGAAGGGCGUGCUAAUCUGCGAUAAGCGCCGGUAAGGUGAUAUGAACCGUUAUAACCGGCGAUACCCGAAUGGGGAAACCCAGUGUGAUUCGUCACACUAUCAUUAACUGAAUCCAUAGGUUAAUGAGGCGAACCGGGGGAACUGAAACAUCUAAGUACCCCGAGGAAAAGAAAUCAACCGAGAUUCCCCAGUAGCGGCGAGCGAACGGGGAGGAGCCCAGAGCCUGAAUCAGCAUGUGUGUUAGUGGAAGCGUCUGGAAAGGUGCGCGAUACAGGGUGACAGCCCCGUACACAAAAGCGCAUGUGCUGUGAGCUCGAUGAGUAGGGCGGGACACGUGGUAUCCUGUCUGAAUAUGGGGGACCAUCCUCCAAGGCUAAAUACUCCUGACUGACCGAUAGUGAACCAGUACCGUGAGGGAAAGGCGAAAAGAACCCCGGCGAGGGGAGUGAAAAAGAACCUGAAACCGUGUACGUACAAGCAGUGGGAGCACAGGUUUACCUGUGUGACUGCGUACCUUUUGUAUAAUGGGUCAGCGACUUAUAUUCUGUAGCAAGGUUAACCGAAUAGGGGAGCCGGAGGGAAACCGAGUCUUAAUUGGGCGUUAAGUUGCAGGGUAUAGACCCGAAACCCGGUGAUCUAGCCAUGGGCAGGUUGAAGGUUGGGUAACACUAACUGGAGGACCGAACCGACUAAUGUUGAAAAAUUAGCGGAUGACCUGUGGCUGGGGGUGAAAGGCCAAUCAAACCGGGAGAUAGCUGGUUCUCCCCGAAAGCUAUUUAGGUAGCGCCUCGUGAAUUCAUCUCCGGGGGUAGAGCACUGUUUCGGCUAGGGGGCCAUCCCGGCUUACCAACCCGAUGCAAACUGCGAAUACCGGAGAAUGUUAUCACGGGAGACACACGGCGGGUGCUAACGUCCGUCGUGAAGAGGGAAACAACCCAGACCGCCAGCUAAGGUCCCAAAGUCAUGGUUAAGUGGGAAACGAUGUGGGAAGGCCCAGACAGCCAGGAUGUUGGCUUAGAAGCAGCCAUCAUUUAAAGAAAGCGUAAUAGCUCACUGGUCGAGUCGGCCUGCGCGGAAGAUGUAACGGGGCUAAACCAUGCACCGAAGCUGCGGCAGCGAACGUAUCACCCAAGACAACUUUACGGAGUUGACGAUUGACGGAGCGAAGCGACGUCAAAGCGUUCAUUAAAGUCGAGUUGGCUUAGGGAUACGUUCGUUGGGUAGGGGAGCGUUCUGUAAGCCUGUGAAGGUGUGUCGUGAGGCAUGCUGGAGGUAUCAGAAGUGCGAAUGCUGACAUAAGUAACGAUAAAGCGGGUGAAAAGCCCGCUCGCCGGAAGACCAAGGGUUCCUGUCCAACGUUAAUCGGGGCAGGGUGAGUCGACCCUAAGGCGAGGCCGAAAGGCGUAGUCGAUGGGAAACGGGUUAAUAUUCCCGUACUUGGUGUUACUGCGAAGGGGGACGGAGAAGGCUAUGUUGGCCGGGCGACGGUUGUCCCGGUUUAAGCGUGUAGGUGUGUGUUCCAGGUAAAUCCGGUUCACUUUAACACUGAGGCGUGACGACGAGGCACUACGGUGCUGAAGCAACAAAUGCCCUGCUUCCAGGAAAAGCCUCUAAGCAUCAGGUAACAUCAAAUCGUACCCCAAACCGACACAGGUGGUCAGGUAGAGAAUACCAAGGCGCUUGAGAGAACUCGGGUGAAGGAACUAGGCAAAAUGGUGCCGUAACUUCGGGAGAAGGCACGCUGACACGUAGGUGAAGUGAUUUACUCAUGGAGCUGAAGUCAGUCGAAGAUACCAGCUGGCUGCAACUGUUUAUUAAAAACACAGCACUGUGCAAACACGAAAGUGGACGUAUACGGUGUGACGCCUGCCCGGUGCCGGAAGGUUAAUUGAUGGGGUCAGCGCAAGCGAAGCUCCUGAUCGAAGCCCCGGUAAACGGCGGCCGUAACUAUAACGGUCCUAAGGUAGCGAAAUUCCUUGUCGGGUAAGUUCCGACCUGCACGAAUGGCGUAAUGAUGGCCAGGCUGUCUCCACCCGAGACUCAGUGAAAUUGAACUCGCUGUGAAGAUGCAGUGUACCCGCGGCAAGACGGAAAGACCCCGUGAACCUUUACUAUAGCUUGACACUGAACAUUGAGCCUUGAUGUGUAGGAUAGGUGGGAGGCUUUGAAGUGUGGACGCCAGUCUGCAUGGAGCCGACCUUGAAAUACCACCCUUUAAUGUUUGAUGUUCUAACGUGGACCCGUAAUCCGGGUUGCGGACAGUGUCUGGUGGGUAGUUUGACUGGGGCGGUCUCCUCCUAAAGAGUAACGGAGGAGCACGAAGGUUGGCUAAUCCUGGUCGGACAUCAGGAGGUUAGUGCAAUGGCAUAAGCCAGCUUGACUGCGAGCGUGACGGCGCGAGCAGGUGCGAAAGCAGGUCAUAGUGAUCCGGUGGCUCUGAAUGGAAGGGCCAUCGCUCAACGGAUAAAAGGUACUCCGGGGAUAACAGGCUGAUACCGCCCAAGAGUUCAUAUCGACGGCGGUGUUUGGCACCUCGAUGUCGGCUCAUCACAUCCUGGGGCUGAAGUAGGUCCCAAGGGUAUGGCUGUUCGCCAUUUAAAGUGGUACGCGAGCUGGGUUUAGAACGUCGUGAGACAGUUCGGUCCCUAUCUGCCGUGGGCGCUGGAGAACUGAGGGGGCUGCUCCUAGUACGAGAGGACCGGAGUGGACGCAUCACUGGUGUUCGGGUUGUCAUGCCAAUGGCACUGCCCGGUAGCUAAAUGCGGAAGAGAUAAGUGCUGAAAGCAUCUAAGCACGAAACUUGCCCCGAGAUGAGUUCUCCCUGAGACUUAGAGUCUCCUGAAGGAACGUUGAAGACGACGACGUUGAUAGGCCGGGUGUGUAAGCGCAGCGAUGCGUUGAGCUAACCGGUACUAAUGAACCGUGAGGCUUAACCUUACAACGCCGAAG
rnacentral:rRNA from 2 species